AGCAGCCGCGGUAAUUCCAGCUCCAAUAGCGUAUAUUAAAGUUGUUGCAGUUAAAAAGCUCGUAGUUGAAUUUCGAGAUCAAAUUGUUGGUCGUGCCUCGGUACGUACUGGUAAUUUUGGUUUCUCCCUUCUGAAGAACCAUGAUGUCAUUAAUUUGGUGUCUUGGGGAAUCAGGACUGUUACUUUGAAAAAUUAGAGUGUUUAAAGCAGGCUCGCGCUUGAAUACAUUAGCAUGGAAUAAUGAAAUAGGACGUUUGAUUCUAUUUUGUUGGUUUCUAGGAUCGACGUAAUGAUUAAUAGGGAUAGUUGGGGGCAUUAGUAUUCAAUUGUCAGAGGUGAAAUUCUUGGAUUUAUUGAAGACUAACUACUGCGAAAGCAUUUGCCAAGGAUGUUUUCAUUAAUCAAGAACGAAAGUUAGGGGA
rnacentral:rRNA from 1 species